GACGAACGCUGGCGGCAUGCUUAACACAUGCAAGUCGAACGAGACGGCCGGGCUUAGGGGCGCAGGGCGGCGGGAGGCGGGGGAAGCAACCCGUAAGUACGGAGCAACUGCCUGAAGGGGAUGCUAAGACAGGUGAGGGUAAUAGGAGCAAAGAGUUAUCGCGUUUGGGUGGGGGCGGGUUGGAUUCGCUGGUUGGGAGGGUAAAAGCAUACCAAGGGGACGUUCCAGGGCUGGUGUGGGAGGAUGAUUAGCCACGCUGGGGAUGCGACACGGGCCAGUCUCCUACGGGGGGGAGCAGUGGGGUAUAUUGGACAAUGGGCGCAAGCCUGAUCCAGCAAUGCCGCGUGAGUGAUGAAGGCCUUAGGGUUGUAAAGCUCUUUUACCCGGGAUGAUAAUGACAGUACCGGGUGAAUAAGCUCCGGCUAACUCCGUG
rnacentral:rRNA from 1 species